CCAUACGACCGUACCGCAAACCGACACUGGUGCGCGAGAUGAGUAUUCUAAGGCGCUUGAGAGAACUCAGGAGAAGGAACUCGGCAAAUUGACACCGUAACUUCGGAAGAAGGUGUGCCCUAUUAGUGUGUAGUGAACAACGAAGCAUGAAUGGGUUGCAAAAAAUCGGUGGCUGCGACUGUUUAUUAAAAACACAGCACUCUGCAAACACGAAAGUGACGUAUAGGGUGUGACGCCUGCCCGGUGCUGGAAGAUUAAAUGAUGGGGUGCAAGCUCUUGAUUGAAGUCCCAGUAAACGGCGGCCGUAACAAUAACGGUCCUAAGGUAGCGAAAUUCCUUGUCGGGUAAGUUCCGACCUGCACGAAUGGCGUAACGAUGGCCACACUGUCUCCUCCUGAGACUCAGCGAAGUUGAAAUGUUUGUGGUGAUGCAAUCUCCCCGCGGAAAGACGGAAAGACCCCAUGAACCUUUACUGUAGCUUUGUAUUGGACUUUGAACAGAUCUGUGUAGGAUAGGUGGGAGGCUUUGAAGCAGGGUCGCUAGAUCUUGUGGAGCCAACGUUGAAAUACCACCCUGGUGUGUUUGAGGUUCUAACCUAGGUCCAUUAUCUGGAUCGGGGACAGUGCAUGGUAGGCAGUUUGACUGGGGCGGUCUCCUCCCAAAGCGUAACGGAGGAGUUCGAAGGUACGCUAGUUACGGUCGGACAUCGUGACGAUAGUGCAAUGGCAUAAGCGUGCUUAACUGCGAGACUGACAAGUCGAGCAGAUGCGAAAGCAGGACAUAGUGAUCCGGUGGUUCUGUAUGGAAGGGCCAUCGCUCAACGGAUAAAAGGUACUCUGGGGAUAACAGGCUGAUACCGCCCAAGAGUUCAUAUCGACGGCGGUGUCUGGCACCUCGAUGUCGGCUCAUCUCAUCCUGGGGCUGUAGCCGGUCCCAAGGGUAUGGCUGUUCGCCAUUUAAAGAGGUACGUGAGCUGGGUUUAAAACGUCGUGAGACAGUUUGGUCCCUAUCUUCCGUGGGCGCUGCAGAUUUGAGGAAGCCUGCUCCUAGUACGAGAGGACCGGAGUGGACACACCUCUGGUGUAUCGGUUGUCACGCCAGUGGCAUUGCCGAGUAGCUAAGUGUGGAAGAGAUAACCGCUGAAAGCAUCUAAGCGGGAAACUCGUUUCAAGAUGAGAUCUGCCGGGGCCUUGAGCCCCCUAAAGAGUCGUUCAAGACCAGGACGUUGAUAGGUCAGGUGUGGAAGCGCAGUAAUGCGUUAAGCUAACUGAUACUAAUUGCUCGUGCGGCUUGAUC
rnacentral:rRNA from 1 species